GAGAAAAUAACCUUUGGAUUGGAAUACUUCCUGGUGUUCAAGAACAACAAGGACAUACCAGCAACAGUUGGAAAUCGGAAAAUGAAAGAGAGAGAGGAACCCAGCAAAACUACAAUUAUGAGGGAAAGAUUACUCAGCAAAAUGAUGGAGCUGUGGACUGAGAAGUCUCUUAUAUCCAGAUGGACUUCAUCUGAGGCUUUUACAGAGAAUGAGGAGUUGUCAAGUUCAUGUUUCCAUGCAUUGAAGGGGAAGAUACCAAAAGGUGAGUACCUUACCUGCAGCCACAGCCAUCUUCUGAGAAUUCUCAAAGGCAAUAAAUGUUGGCCUAGUCAAUGAUGCAAACACCCACUGAGCAAAUAAAAAGA